rnacentral:rRNA from 1 species
GACGAACGCUGGCGGCGUGCUUAACACAUGCAAGUCGAACGGUAAGGCCCUUCGGGGUACACGAGUGGCGAACGGGUGAGUAACACGUGGGUGAUCUGCCCUGCACUUCGGGAUAAGCCUGGGAAACUGGGGCUAAUACCGGAUAGGACUCCGGACUGCAUGGUCUGGGGUGGAAAGCUUUUGCGGUGUGGGAUGGGCCCGCGGCCUAUCAGCUUGUUGGUGGGGUGAUGGCCUACCAAGGCGACGACGGGUAGCCGGCCUGAGAGGGUGACCGGCCACACUGGGACUGAGAUACGGCCCAGACUCCUACGGGAGGCAGCAGUGGGGAAUAUUGCACAAUGGGCGCAAGCCUGAUGCAGCGACGCCGCGUGAGGGAUGACGGCCUUCGGGUUGUAAACCUUUUUCAGCAUCGACGAAGCGAAAGUGACGGUAGGUGCAGAAGAAGGACCGGCCAACUACGUGCCAGCAGCCGCCGUAA